CUCCGCCCCCAGAGGGGAGCUGGUCCACGUGGGACUGGCCGGCCUCCUCCCCACAGCCUCGCCCGGGUUAUCCUGUCUGUGCUGGCCACGCCGGGUGGUAGCGGGCGGGGACAGUGGGGGAGUCUGGCCCGGGCUCGCAGGUCGCCACGCUGGGACUCAGAGGCCCCAAGCAAGGUCGUUCCGAGUUUCUCCCACGCGGGCCCGGAUCAGCUGUGUGGCGACGCGGAAGAGCUCGUGUGCUGGGACCUGCCCUUGGCCGGACCCGAGCGGCUCCUGGCCCUCACGUGGCCGCCUCGCUCCCGCAGUCAUGCACUUGGGUGAAAACGGAAAGAUUCCGGAGUCACGAGGACAGGCUUGCGUUCCCAGUUGUGGCGCUGCGCUGAGGGAGAGCCGUGGGUGGGUAGUGACUCCGCUGCGGACCUGCGGUUUCAGAGCCCCGGCUGUGGUGCAGCGGGGAGGGAUGUUGCGUCGGACUCGAAUUCUGACUCUUAAUUGCUGCAGUGUGUGUCACCUUGAACAAAUAGGUCUCUCAGACCGAGUGCUCAAGAACGUGAAAUACUAGCAGUAUGAGAGGAGACGGGUGGACGGGUUAGGAUUGUGUAAAACCCAGCAAAGAUGCGUUUCCUGUCUGCUCAUCGGGGCUUGUGGCGGCAGGCAGUACUAAUUGAGCUAGCCAUGAGCAGAGUCCCCCAGCACCUUCCUUUCUCCAGCCAUCAGGGCCAAGAGUUCUUUCCAACUUCCUGCUGCAGGAGAAGCCAAGGAAAUCAGCUGCUGCCAGAGAAGUGGGGGCAGCAGUGUGAUACACGGCAUGAGUCUCACCUGAUUGGUCUGCACUGAAAUCACCACCUCCAGGCGCACUUUCACUAGCCCAGUGUCUCCUCCCACCAUCCUCAACACAGGCUGUGUAGCCCUUCCAACAGCUGUAGCGAGGUAACGCCCAGAUGUCUCAAAGCCUCCAAGCAGCAUCCUUCUCGGGAAUAACCAGAGCGGUGUCCCUCAGCUAGGUACUCUGCGGUUUCAAGCCCACUGUUCUUUGAAUCUCCCAACUCCACAUCCCAGGAAUCUACAUCCUGUGGUUUCACCCAGAUGACUGGCUCCUUCCACUCUCACUCCUGCCUCUUCCUCGAUUAUCUGGGUGCUAGGUGGCCCAAUUCUGUAGACAUGCCAUGGGCCAUUAUCAGUCAUCAUCAGUCCACUCUGUGUUGUGUAACCCGUGAUGAAGAGCUCCCAUCCUAAUCCUUACAUUCAUCCCCUGGGAUCCUCCUAUUCAAGUUUAACUUUACUAUUCAAGGUGUCUACUCUGCCAUCGGGUCUGGUUGAUCUGCUCUGUUUUCCCAUGUUUUUAUUUAGCUAUACCAGCAGAAUACUGCUGUGGACAUCUUCGCCCUGCAUCAGAGCAUAGGGAACUGAGCAGGGACUGGCAAAUUCAAGCUCAGGGCAAGACAAAAAGACCAGCAAGUGAGAUACCAAGGAAGGUCCAGGUUCGAAGGUUGAAGGCCCCGGGGUGACCACACCCAACCCCUUUUCACCUAGACUGGACUAUGAAUCACCAGUUUUACUUCCUCAGUGAAGUGCUGGCCUGCAGCCAUUCCAGAAAUCCUUCUCUAUGGUUGAGUCCCCUAGGGCAUCGGUCAGCCCCUCAGUGUCUGGCCGGUUGCAGUGACCUGCUUUCCUCCUCACGGAGUGGAAGAAGCAGCAGCCCUCAGCCAGCCCAGAAGUGUCAGCUUCUCUUCUCGCCCAGCCGGCUGCGCUGCACCUCGAGUCAGGUGCUGCCCAGGGCUCCAACUUCCUGGGAGGGAGAAGCAGAGCUGACAUUCUCACUAGAGAAAGGGUGGGCCUGCCCCUCCUUUGCUCAUGACCUGCUCAAAGGCAGCCAGCUGGAGUUUGCUACGGAGCUCGUGCUGGUGACUUUUUGAUCAUCCUAAGCCUUUGCUAAGUGCCAUCAACACGUUGACUUAAGUGGUAAAGGAUGCCGGGUUGAUGUGGGUUGUGGGGGUGGAGGAGAAGACGAACAGGAGGAGGAAGCAGAUGGAGAGAGGCGUGAGAAGAAAAGAACACAUGGAACCAGGCUCCUAGACUAGACUCUGGUUUCUCCUGCCCUUCCCGCACCGUCCUGUGUGGCCAGCCGCUCAUCUGUUGACACCUUAGCUGUUUCCCAGCCUCUGCACCCCACUGGAAUCAGCCUGCACAGUCUUCUAAGUCACUGUUUUCUAUCAUUGCCUAGGGGACACAAGCCAGUGGCUUUGUCUAGCCAGGGCUUUCCAUGACUGGGCCUCCUAUCCGUUGGCUUUAUUUUCCAUUGCUUCACAGGGGAAAAUGUCGACUGUGCCCAGCCUGGCUUGUCAUUGCCACCACUCCCUCAUGGAGCAGCCGUGCAUGGUUACUUAGCAAAAGGCAACCUUAGCAUUGUUUCAUCUUGGUGGUUUCUCCCGUAAUCAUUCACUGAGUACUGCCAUUCAUAAAACUGGAAAAAGGUUAACUUUCUCAGAAAUCUUACUGCUUCUCAGCCUUCCCCCUGGUUCCUUCCCUCUAGUAAUCUCGAACAACGGUGAAGCUACCUGAAUUCUGCAGGUGCGAACCCAAGGCUCAGAAGAGACUGGCUGCUCCCAAGCUGGAAGAAUCCUGGGCUAGAGAGUUGCAGGCUCAGCUCAGGACCUUUUCAGUCCACGGAUCAAGGUCAUCCCACUUUACCUGACUAAAGUGAAAACCAUAUGCGCUUGAGAGCAUGGGCCAUCCUCACUUUCUGUGUUUGGCAAACAGCGAGCACAUUAGUGUCUUCGUCUAUGCAAGCCACUGAAACAGGAUUCCACAGACCUGUGGUCUGUAAGCAACAGAAAUGUAUUGCUCACAGGAAGCUGGGAAGUUCAAGAGCAGGAUGCCCACAGAUUGGUGUCUAGCAAAGGGCCAUCCUCUGGUCUACUUUGUUCACAUGACAGAGCCCGAGGGAGCUCUUUGGGAGUCUCUUCUAAGAGCACUGAUCCUAUGCACCACGGUUCCACCCUGUGGUCUAAUCACCAACCUAAAGUCCCACUUCUUGAUGACACCACGUUUGGACUCAGGCUCAACACAUGACUUCUGAGGAGCAUAGUCUAUUGCAGAUGGGUUAUGACUACUCUCUCUCAAAAAAAAAAAAAAAAGAAGAAGAAGAAGAAAAAAGCAGCACUAGGAUCUCAUGUUUGCUGGACAAGUGCUGUACCGCUGAGCUACAUCCCCAAACCCACACAGGCAGCCUGGUAAGAAAUGAAAUAAAGAAAAUACCAGAGUGCAUUCAAUAUUGAGGCCCCUCACCACAGAAGACAGCUACAACUUUAGCAUGGAAUCAUGGGGAGACUGUUGUAAACAAAUAAACCUAGAAACAAGCAGAUGACGCUGUUUUAAUAGCUACAAAAUAGACUUCAUACUGAAACAAUGAGAAGACACAAAAGUCACUUCAUACUGAAGAAGGGAAUGACCUAUCAGGGACAUUACAACUGCUAAGCAGAAGUGCUCCGAACACAGGUGUGCCCAGUCUCCUGAAGUAGAUACCAUUAAUAAAGCUGGUGCUAGCACAAGGAAGAAGUGAUUCUGUGAAAAAUGUAAACAAAAUGUAGUAUCUUUUCUAUCAAAAGUUUAAUUAGGACAAAACUCCAUUAAAAUGCGUUUUAAAGAAGCAACAUGAAAAGAAAAAAAUAAAAAAAUAAAGAAGCAACAUGGCAGAAACACAAGUUCCUUCAGGGACAACGCUUCUUAGAACCCAAAGAUGUUCUCAAGGUAGCACUUUCUGCUUGGAAUUGCAUUCUGCUUGUUGGCUGCUUGUUGCUUUAAAACAGACAAAUUCAGGAAUGUGAGCCCAAGCUCACAGUGAGGGACAGGGCCCCUAUGCUUGAUUUGGCUAUGCACCCCUUGAAAGAAAGAAAUCUUUUUGCCUUGGAUUGUGAGAUCACUUUCUUGAGACCCCAGACCCAAUUCUUACAACUACAAAAUUCCAUGGAACUUUCUUCAAAAUGCCUCAUAUAUUUGUACUCACAGCAAGUCUUUUUUAUUAUUAUU